GACGAACGCUGGCGGCGCGCUUAACACAUGCAAGUCGAGCGAUGAAAUUUGGAGAGUUCCCUUCGGGGGGAAGAGGAAAUGGAUUAGGGGCGGCGGGGUGAGUAACCCUUGAGUAACCGGCCUUUGACAUGGGAAUGGCCCGGGGAACCGGGGAUAAAUACAAACGGACACUACCUGAUAAAAUGACGAAUUAGCCCAAGAAUUUCGGUCAAACAUGGACUCGCGGGUGAUUAGCUAGUUGGUGAGGUAACGGCCCACCAAGGCGACGAUCAGUAGCCGGCCUGUGGGGGUGGGCGGCCACACUGGAGGUGGGAAGCGGUCCAGACUCCUACGGGAGGCAGCAGUGGGGAAUAUUGCACAGUGGGGGAAACCCUGAUGCAGCGACGCCGCGUGAGCGAAGAAGUCCUUCGGGUCGUAAAGCUCUUUUAUGAGGGAAGAUAAUGACGGUACCUCAAGAAAAAGCCCCGGCUAACUACGUG
rnacentral:rRNA from 1 species